GAACGCUGGCGGCGUGCUUAACACAUGCAAGUCGAACGGAAAGGCCCUGCUUGCAGGGUACUCGAGUGGCGAACGGGUGAGUAACACGUGGGUGAUCUGCCCUGCACUUCGGGAUAAGCCUGGGAAACUGGGUCUAAUACCGGAUAGGAGCCAUUUUUAGUGUGAUGGUUGGAAAGUUUUUUCGGUGUAGGAUGAGCUCGCGGCCUAUCAGCUUGUUGGUGGGGUAAUGGCCUACCAAGGCGGCGACGGGUAGCCGGCCUGAGAGGGUGGACGGCCACAUUGGGACUGAGAUACGGCCCAGACUCCUACGGGAGGCAGCAGUGGGGAAUAUUGCACAAUGGGCGCAAGCCUGAUGCAGCGACGCCGCGUGGGGGAUGACGGCCUUCGGGUUGUAAACUCCUUUCGCUAGGGACGAAGCUUUUUGUGACGGUACCUAGAUAAGAAGCACCGGCUAACUACGUGCCAGCAGCCGCGGUAAUACGUAGGGUGCGAGCGUUGUCCGGAAUUACUGGGCGUAAAGGGCUCGUAGGUGGUUUGUCGCGUCGUCUGUGAAAUUCCGGGGCUUAACUCCGGGCGUGCAGGCGAUACGGGCAUAACUUGAGUACUGUAGGGGUAACUGGAAUUCCUGGUGUAGCGGUGAAAUGCGCAGAUAUCAGGAGGAACACCGAUGGCGAAGGCAGGUUACUGGGCAGUUACUGACGCUGAGGAGCGAAAGCA
rnacentral:rRNA from 1 species